rnacentral:rRNA from 1 species
GAUGAACGCUGGCGGCGUGCCUAAUACAUGCAAGUCGAACGAAACUUCUUUAUCACCGAGUGCUUGCACUCACCGAUAAAGAGUUGAGUGGCGAACGGGUGAGUAACACGUGGUCAACCUGCCCAAAAGAGGGGGAUAACACUUGGAAACAGGUGCUAAUACCGCAUAACCAUAGUUACCGCAUGGUAACUAUGUAAAAGGUGGCUAUACUACCGCUUUUGGAUGGGCGCGCGGCGCAUUAGCUAGUUGGUAGGGUAAAGGCUUACCAAGGCAAUGAUGCGUAGCCGAAUUGAGAGGUUGAUCAGCCACAUUGGGACUGAGACACGGCCCAAACUCCUACGGGAGGCAGCAGUAGGGAAUCUUGCACAAUGGGCGAAAGCCUGAUGGAGCAACGCCGCGUGGGUGAAGAAGGUCUUCGGAUCGUAAAACCCUGUUGUUAGGGAAGAAAGUGCGUGAGAGUAACUCGUCACGUUUCGACGGUAUCUAACCAGAAAGCCACGGCUAACUUCGUG